CAAACGGCUCUUUUCAGGGCCAUACAAUUUCUUCGAAAAGAUGCAU
rfam:Crassostrea gigas strain 05x7-T-G4-1.051#20 contig21940, whole genome shotgun sequence.